CAAUAACUAAAUACUCAACACAAAAAAAAAAUAAAGAACAAUACUGGUUAAUUAGAAACUUUUCGGCUCACUCAUUAUAAGGCGAGACAAAAACGAUAACCUUUAUCCCUUGGCCUAAGACGCUGCCCAAUUGGCGCGAAUUAACAACUUGACCUAUCUCCUAAAAGAGCUCUCUUAAAAGACCUUUUCUGCCCUUAGUUUGCUGCAGAAUCAAAUUACAACCAAAAGACCGGGAAUUUGGUAAUCCUCCUGGCUACCUUAAGCCUUAUUAUACGCAAAUCCAAGUAUUAUUCUCUUCACACUUCUUUUUUUUUUAUCGUUACGCUAUUUCCCAUACAUAUUUAACACUAGAUAUCAAUUAUUUGUUUGUUUUAUGAUGAAAACUAAUCGAAUUUUUUUAUUUUUUUUUUGUUACCUCUCUUUUAGGUUUUUGGACGGCUGCCAGACAAUAUUAAAAUCUCGCUUAUGGGGACUUCACAGAUAUAGGACACAGACAUAAAUUGGGCUGUUUAUAUAUGGAUGAUCGCAGACAAAAUCACACGGCUGCAGCACCUGGGUCAGGCCUCUUCAGCUCGAAGCUUACACAGCACCACCCUCUCAAGCUGAGAAAUUUCGCAGCCGCCAGCAAUCAGGCACAGUAAGCUCGGAAAAUUGGGGCUCACUGGAGAACUUUUCCACCAAUAAAAAUUUCGCACUGGCCCCCUUAUGCGUAGGUUGGCCAGUGCUUAUCGCCACUACAGGAAUCAAUUUCUAUUACACAGAAGAAAUAACAAAAAUCACCAGUCUACUUCAGAUUUUACAUGACAUCGCCACUCACAUUCAAAUGUAUUUACAGCAAAACACGAUCAAAAUAAAGUUGUUAAUGAUGUUCAAUA